rnacentral:sRNA from 12 species
GUCCUAUACAGAUGCAUUCAACGCUAGCCAGUUGAGCAUCUCCCUGUAGGACGAAGUUUAUUAGAAGCUCUAGCAACAAUUCUCAUUGUGUGGCUGUGGCUACAGUCGAAAUGAGAUGAAGCAGAGUGGAAUAGGUUAACCGUAAGACCUUGGGUUGAAAAACUCUAAAAUUGAGCUAGAGAUACGGGUUUCCUAAUUUUCUCAUUUUCUAAUUUUCUAGGUACGGUCUU